CACGUAGGGUGCGAGCGUUGUCCGGAAUUAUUGGGCGUAAAGAGCUCGUAGGCGGUGUGUCGCGUCGGCCGUGAAAACCUGCAGCUUAACUGUGGGCUUGCGGUCGAUACGGGCAUCACUGGAGUUCGGCAGGGGAGACUGGAAUUCCUGGUGUAGCGGUGGAAUGCGCAGAUAUCAGGAGGAACACCGAUGGCGAAGGCAGAUCUCUGGGCCGUAACUGACGCUGAGGAGCGGAAAGCAUGGGGAGCGAACAGGA
rnacentral:rRNA from 1 species